rnacentral:tRNA from 1 species
GCUAGGUUAGUAUGAUUAUAAGUACGUCGAAUUUAGGUUUCGAAAGAAGGUGUGUUGCACCUAUCUGGUU